rnacentral:tRNA from 1 species
CGCCGUCCAGCAGGGCAUGGUCGACCGGCGGCAGGUUGCCGGCCCGCCGCAGCACCUCGGCGGUGAGCACCGAUUCGAGGUCGACGGCGACGCC